AGUGUCCCCAGCAGCCUUGUGCCAUUGCGCUGCCCGCAGCCGCUCUAUGCCAUCCCUCUGCCACCAACCACCUUGUGCCAUCCCUCUGCCACCAACCGCCUUGUGCCAUCCUUCUGCCACCAGCACUUGCCCAGGUACCCAGAUGGAAUCCCCUGCACUUGCUCUGCACCCAGAUGGCUGGAAUCCCCUGCACUUAUCCCAUGACC